rnacentral:rRNA from 2 species
UACGUAGGGGGCGAGCGUUGUCCGGAAUCAUUGGGCGUAAAGAGCUCGUAGGCGGUUCAGCAAGUCGGCUGUGAAAUUCCGAGGCUCAACCUCGGAACUGCAGUCGAUACUGCUGUGACUCGAGUCCGGUAGAGGAGAAUGGAAUUCCCGGUGUAGCGGUGAAAUGCGCAGAUAUCGGGAGGAACACCAGUAGCGAAGGCGGUUCUCUGGGCCGGUACUGACGCUGAGGAGCGAAAGCGUGGGGAGCAAACAGG